GGGGAAUUUUCCGCAAUGGGCGAAAGCCUGACGGAGCAAUACCGCGUGAGGGAUGAAUGCCUAUGGGUUGUAAACCUCUUUUUUCAGGGAGGAAUCAAUGACGUGUACCUGAAGAAUAAGCAUCGGCUAACUCCGUGCCAGCAGCCGCGGUAAGACGGAGGAUGCAAGUGUUAUCCGGAAUCACUGGGCGUAAAGCGUCUGUAGGUGGUUUAAUAAGUCAACUGUUAAAUCUUGAGGCUCAACCUCAAAACCGCAGUCGAAACUAUUCAACUAGAGUCUAGUAGGGGUAAAGGGAAUUUCCAGUGGAGCGGUGAAAUGCGUAGAGAUUGGAAAGAACACCGAUGGCGAAGGCACUUUACUGGGCUAUGACUAACACUGAGAGACGAAAGCUAGGGUAGCAAAUGGGAUUAGAUACCCCAGUAGUC
rnacentral:rRNA from 1 species